rnacentral:tRNA from 1 species
GCGGAAGUAGCUCAGUUGGUAGAGCGGCAGCUUCCCAAGCUGCAGGUCGCGAGUUCGAGACUCGUCUUCCGCUCAA